AUGCUACUCCCUCCGUCCGAAAAAGCUUGUCCCUCAAAUGGAUGUAUCUAGCACCAAGUUAGUGCUAGAUACAUCCAUUUGAGGGACAAGCUUUUUCGGACGGAGGAAGUACCUA
rnacentral:pre_miRNA from 1 species